CUCUGCACGGCUGUGUACACCUGAGCGAGACGCUCAGUCGCUCUCUAAAGCCGCUUCUGCGGAUGACAGACACGGAGAUAAACGUGAGAGGUGGCCCACCACGACUUGCCCUCCUUUGCCCGGGUUUGCCCCUCGCUGCGGAGGCUGUUCUACAUCUGGCCCUUGGAGCAGGCCGGCUGACAGCGUGGUAAAGGAAGAUUUCUGCGGGAGGGCGGCCAGUGCAAAACAAUUCCCUGACCGGGAAUCGAACCCGGGCCGUGGCGCUUUCAGCACCGAAUCCUAGCCACUAGACAACCAUGCAGAUGCGGAAAGCUGCUUUCUCUCCCUUCUUCGACCUGAAGCGACACUUUCCUGUGCUCUAGGAGGACUUGGGUCUUGUGAGAGUCGCCCUUUGCUCCUGGAGUCGUCUCACAAGGCCGUUCACUCCCUGCUUUCUUCAAAAAAAGAACCUGCAGGCGACACACCAAGGACUCCACGAGGGAGUCCUGAGUACUGGAGCGAGUUGCGGCCACGCGGCCGCAGCUCACCACUGGCCUAGAGAUGCCCUUUGCGAGGCGGCAGCAACUGACAAGAUGGUCGCGGGUCGCCGGGUCCGGAGCCGCCCACCAGGUUGCCAGGAGGAGGCGGGAGCGGGGAGGCGCCCGAGGUGAGACAGGGGCACCCUCUGCAUCAUAAAGGACCCAGACCCCGGCACCCUCAACAUCAUAAGGAAUCAGACGGAUGCGGAAACCGAGACGGGCUGGAUAGGAAACUCUUUCCAGGAAGGCUCCGGGGCACUCAACUGGUCUCCAACCUUCCCCUGCAACCUGUGACGCCUGCCAUUUUCCCAUUUUAGGCGAUGGCAACGCAACCCCUCCGUUUGCUCUGGGCAAAACUUCGAGAGUUCCCUCUGAAGCUGGAGCUUUUUCCUCAGAUCCAAGAUCCAAUUGGUCACCAAUUCGUGAUUUCCGUCGGCCAAGUGCGUGGGCAUUGAUCUACACGCGAGUUUCUCCACCUCUGCCGAAUGGCUACUUCGGGGUGGGGGAGGGGCCCUCCCGCCGUGGAUUGCAAGGUGUUUAGCAGCAUCUGUCUCCUCCGCUGACUAGACACAUGCCAGGGGGAUAACAUUCUCCCUCCCGCUUCCCCCAGCCGCGGCCUAGUGUCCCAGCGGGGUUGGGAGAGGCAUGUGAGGGCCAAGUUGCCCCCUGUUGAGAACCAUUGCUGCGCGUAGUCCUUCUCUCUGAACUUGUGCAGAGGACUCUCCAGGUGAAGGCUCAAGGGUGGAUCCAGCUCGAGACACCCUCGCUCCCCCUCACAGUCGGACCUUAGGAUUUAGGCUUUAACAUCUCCACAUCAUGAGAUUCGAAACCUUUAGGUCUUGUCUUCCGUUCUGUCCUCCAAAUCGGCCUCUUCCGAGCCUGUUGACCAGGGCCAGCCGGGCAGAGGGCUGGGCUCGCUCAACGAGGCUCCUCUCGCACCUCCUGGAGCUUCAGGCUUCUUUCCGUUGCAGAGAAGCUUUAUGGGCCAAUUCGUUCGGCAUCCCCGGGGGCAGGUGCGCGGUGCGCGGGGAAGAAGAGGAUUUGACUGCGGUUCUCCACCCCCGGCGCCCAACCUCCACCCCGGUGCGCGCGCUCUUCCAGGCUCCUGCUGGUCCCACUUGCCAGGAGUUAGGUCUCAGGUCAGCCUGAGCUCCUGAGACGCCCAGGCCCGGAAAGACACGUAGGGGAAACCAUCUGCUCACUUCUGUCCUGUCCGGAAGGGAUCCCUUUCUGACGGGAAAGAAAGGCGCUAAACAAGCACUGGCCUUGAGAUAAGCAAUGCUGAAGCACUUGCAGCUCACCUAUUACCAUAAACUGACUGAGCCCUCCCUACACAAGCCGUAACUACUGCUUUGAUUGGACAAGAGACUGAUUUCAGUAGUUUUCUCUUGAUAAGAGACCACUGGCCGUGGGCGGGUUCUGGACAGUUUACAGAAGCUAUGCACUUGAUUGCCUUUGUGUCCCUGCUUCACCUUUUGAAGCAUAGGGCCUAAUUAUAAUGUAUUUAAAUGUUGUCUCCACCCCAAAGUGAACAUGGGUUGCAUGUAACAGGCAUGUUUACUCAGCAUGCAUGCAGCAGGAUCCCUUCACAAAUAUUCAGAGCUCCCCCUAUUCCCUGUUGAAUAUGUAUAUGUGGCCAGCCAGAUCAACGUAAAUCACUAUUCGCCCUCCCCUCCCUGGAAACCUACUUUUCGGGUUUCAGCAGGAAGCUAUGCCUCCCCGUCUGUCAGAAUGGCCACUUGCAGGCUGUAACCCUUUAUAAAAAAAUAAAAUCUCCUUUCUAAAUUUA